rnacentral:rRNA from 1 species
AUACGGAGGGUGCAAGCGUUGUUCGGAAUCACUGGGCGUAAAGGGCGCGCAGGCGGUUUGAUUAGUCAGAUGUGAAAGCCCACGGCUUAACCGUGGAAGUGCAUUUGAAACUGUCAGACUUGAGUAUCAGAGGGGAAAGUGGAAUUCCCGGUGUAGAGGUGAAAUUCGUAGAUAUCGGGAGGAAUACCGGUGGCGAAGGCGACUUUCUGGCUGAAUACUGACGCUGAGGCGCGAAAGCGUGGGGAGCAAACAGAAUUAGAAACCCUAGUAGUCC